GUCGUUCAUAAGUCAUUUAUUCUAAAUAAUUUUCAAAAGCGGGAGUUUGUCUGACAAUAGUAACAAAUUGAGUAGAAAAAUCCUCAAUUGUUUUUAAAUUCAGAUUAUAUUUUAUCACAUAUUAGCUGCAUCAGAUAAAAAUUUACUAUAUGCAAGUGCAUGUACAUACAACAGAUACAGUUAAGUCACCCUCAUAUCUUGACUUACAUCUAGAAAUUGACAAUGAGGGUCAGUUGAAAACAAAACUUUAUGACAAAACAUGAUUUCAGCUUUCCAAUUGUGAACUUUCUGUUUACAGCGGCACCUGCAUAUGGGGUAAAUAUCUCUCAAUUGAUACGAUAUUCCCGUGCUUGCAUUUCCUAUCAUUAUUUUCUUGAUAGAGGGUUGCUGCUCACAAGGAAGCUAUUAAACCAAGAGUUCCAAAUGGUGAAGUUGAAAUCAUCCCUUCGUUAUAAUAAUAAUAUAUAAAAGUAUUACCCUAUUCUAUUUACA
rnacentral:lncRNA from 1 species